rnacentral:other from 2 species
AAAGUCCUGAUGUGUUCGUCUCCAUACCUUAUCGUUUUGACCGACAAGUUUUAAAUACGGGAGCCUGGCGUUUCCCGGCUGAUGGCAAGCCUUUGUGAAAAGGAAGCUUGAAGCCUGGAACAGGGCACCCACCUGCCGAGAGCGGGUUCAAAACAAAGGAUUCAAAGACGGCACGAUUGGGACUUUU